CGUAGGGUGCGAGCGUUAAUCGGAAUUACUGGGCGUAAAGUGUGCGCAGGUGGCCGCGCAUGUCGAGUGUGAAAUCCCCGGGCUUAACUUGGGAAUUGCGCUCGAAACUACGUGGCUAGAGUGUGGCAGGGGAAGGUGGAAUUCCACGUGUAGCGGUGAAAUGCGUAGAGAUGUGGAGGAACACCGAUGGCGAAGGCAGCCUUCUGGGCCAACACUGACGCUCAUGCACGAAAGCGUGGGGAGCAAACAGGAUUAGAUACCCUGGUAGUCCACGCCCUAAACGAUGAUGACUAGUUGUUGGAGGAGUUAAAUCCUUUAGUAACGCAGCUAACGCGUGAAGUCAUCCGCCUGGGGAGUACGGUCGCAAGAUUA
rnacentral:rRNA from 1 species